GACGAACGCUGGCGGCGUGCCUAACACAUGCAAGUCGAGCGAAUGAAGUUCCUUCGGGAACGGAUUUAGCGGCGGACGGGUGAGUAACACGUGGGCAACCUGCCUCAUAGAGGGGAAUAGCCUUCCGAAAGGGAGAUUAAUACCGCAUAAGAUUGUAGUACCGCAUGGUACAGCAAUUAAAGGAGCAAUCCGCUAUGAGAUGGGCCCGCGGCGCAUUAGCUAGUUGGUGAGGUAACGGCUCACCAAGGCGACGAUGCGUAGCCGACCUGAGAGGGUGAUCGGCCACAUUGGGACUGAGACACGGCCCAGACUCCUACGGGAGGCAGCAGUGGGGAAUUUUGGACAAUGGGCGAAAGCCUGAUCCAGCAAUGCCGCGUGCAGGAUGAAGGCCCUCGGGUUGUAAACUGCUUUUGUACGGAACGAAAAGCCUGAGGCUAAUAUCCUCGGGUCAUGACGGUACCGUAAGAAUAAGCACCGGCUAACUACGUGCCAGCAGCCGCGGUAAUACGUAGGGUGCAAGCGUUAAUCGGAAUUACUGGGCGUAAAGCGUGCGCAGGCGGUUUUGUAAGACAGUGGUGAAAUCCCCGGGCUCAACCUGGGAACUGCCAUUGUGACUGCAAGGCUGGAGUGCGGCAGAGGGGGAUGGAAUUCCGCGUGUAGCAGUGAAAUGCGUAGAUAUGCGGAGGAACACCGAUGGCGAAGGCAAUCCCCUGGGCCUGCACUGACGCUCAUGCACGAAAGCGUGGGGAGCAAACAGGAUUAGAUACCCUGGUAGUCCACGCCCUAAACGAUGUCAACUGGUUGUUGGGAAUUAACUUUCUCAGUAACGAAGCUAACGCGUGAAGUUGACCGCCUGGGGAGUACGGCCGCAAGGUUAAAACUCAAAGGAAUUGACGGGGACCCGCACAAGCGGUGGAUGAUGUGGUUUAAUUCGAUGCAACGCGAAAAACCUUACCCACCUUUGACAUGGCAGGAACUUACCAGAGAUGGUUUGGUGCUCGAAAGAGAACCUGCACACAGGUGCUGCAUGGCUGUCGUCAGCUCGUGUCGUGAGAUGUUGGGUUAAGUCCCGCAACGAGCGCAACCCUUGUCAUUAGUUGCUACAUUUAGUUGAGCACUCUAAUGAGACUGCCGGUGACAAACCGGAGGAAGGUGGGGAUGACGUCAAGUCCUCAUGGCCCUUAUAGGUGGGGCUACACACGUCAUACAAUGGCUGGUACAAAGGGUUGCCAACCCGCGAGGGGGAGCUAAUCCCAUAAAGCCAGUCGUAGUCCGGAUCGCAGUCUGCAACUCGACUGCGUGAAGUCGGAAUCGCUAGUAAUCGUGGAUCAGAAUGUCACGGUGAAUACGUUCCCGGGUCUUGUACACACCGCCCGUCACACCAUGGGAGCGGGUCUCGCCAGAAGUAGGUAGCCUAACCGCAAGGAGGGCGCUUACCACGGCGGGGUUCGUGACUGGGGUG
rnacentral:rRNA from 1 species